rnacentral:lncRNA from 1 species
GUAUUUUUUUUUUUUAGUCUUAUGGAAAGGUUAUUUUGGUAUAAAAUAAUUAAGUCGGGAUUCAAUUUUCAAUCCGGGGUACGAGGCCGGAUUCGUUUCGACCCGGAUUAGUCCAUUCCCAUUCCGGAAUAGAAACGAAAUCGGAAUGAGAUUACGGCAUAUCAAACGUCUAGAAUCGGAAUGGAUCAUUCCGAUUCCGAUUCCGGGAUUAAUAUUUAGCGAACCAAACACGCCCUAAUUUAGUUGUUAUUAUAGCAUCUAGUUGUUAUUAUAGCACCUUAUAAAUAGGUUCUCUUACUUAGAACCCUAACCACAACCACUUUCUCCUCUCCAUCACUCUCGCUCUCUUUCUUAUCUCUCUAGAAGAAAAGAGGUGCUGUUGUCCCUCUUUUUGGAGGUUGGGAAUCCGUCUUCUCCAAGCUUGAAAAAGGUGGAGAGCUUCAAGAGGAAGAUCUAGGAGGAAGAACUCUCUCCCACAUUUGGAUUGCAAAAAGAGAAGUAAGUUGGCAUUUUAGGAUUUUGGUUUUAUGAUUUUUCCAAAUGAGAAUAUUUUAGAACCAUUUUUAAAAUUUUUUUGGUGUUUUCAAGAGAGUUAGGUCAUUUCUUUGUUGAAGAUCCAACCCAGGUGGUGAAUAUCACUAAAAAAAAGUUUGAUCUUCCCUUUAUCUUUAGAACUUUUGGAUUAUUAGCAUGUAUUAUUGGUAAUAAUUAAACUAAAUGUAAUUUUAGUUACAUGCUAGAAAAAUAGAAUUUUCGACCCGGGCGGAAAGGCCUCAGCGGCACGGAGGAGUCAGAAAUCCCCUUCCUCCAUGUUAUCCACCUAUUGCACAUUCUACGAGGUGCUAUCGUCAGUUUUUCUAAGUUAAUCUGCAUAAAAAAAGCCAAAACUUGCAAUUCAAAUUUAGCGUGAACAAGAUAAAAUAAAAACAUUACACCAUAUUCCUUCAAACUAUUUAUACUAGGGCCAUGUUUGAAGCACCGGAUUAGCACGGGAUUGGAUUAAACUUAAUCCGAUCUAGUUUUGAUCUGGUAUUUGGGUGUGAGAUAGCAUGGGAUUACUCAGAUCUGGUCUAGCCCAACUAUCUUGCUCACAUGGCAUUAGUCAAUCCCGUGGUGAGGGACGAGAUUAUUCCAACUAAUUAAGAUGUUUCACCUGUCAGCUGGUUCACUUCUCUUUUCUUAUCUCUUCUGCUCUCGUCCAUAGUUAGUUAAUUCGCGAAUUAUUUACGAAUUUUAAAAAAUUUGAAUAAAAUAGUCCAUAUGCAAUUUAUUCUCAAAAAUUCAUAGUAAAACGUGAAUUUUUGGGUUAAAUUUAUUAUUCGCGAAUAAUUCAUGUAUACUGAACUAUUCGUCUAAAAAAACACACAGAAUUUGUGGAUAAAAUUCCUUUCUCCAUUAUUCACGAAUUAUUAUCGAAUUAUUUGCAAAUUAUUCACGAGUUAUUGAAAAACUUCAUGGACUUUUGGAAUAUGUUGAUCGUGAAAAAGAUAAAGAAGAAAACGGCAGUGAACUUUGAAAUUGCUCAUUUUACUUAAUCUGUUUUAUUUUGUACCUCUCUAUUUUUAUAUUUUUUUAACUAUUUAUAUUAAUAGCAUAAAUCUAGAGAAAAAAUUAAAUUUAAUAACCGAAUUUUUUGUCCUAAAUUUUUAAUUAUUGAAUGUAUAAUUUUCAUAUAAAUUACGUAACUAAAUAAUUGGUGAACCAUUUUUUAAGCCGUAUUUUUUAACUUAUUUAAAAGGGUUAAUUUCAUACAUGUCCUUGCAAACAUGGUGAAUAGCAGAUAUAUAUUCUACAAAGUUCAACUUUCAUAAGUUAUCCCUGCAGAAUCCCUAAUGUAUUCAGAUAUGUCUCUACCGUUAAAAUCUGUUAGAGAAAUCUAGUUAACCACAGUUAAAAUACUUAACCAUGAUUAGUUAAUAAGAUAAAAUGGCAUUUUUACCCUUCUUCCUCUUCCCCUUCCUCUUUUUCCUCUACUUCUUCUUCCUCUUCCUCUUCCUCUCCUGCUUCUUCUCCUUCCUCUUCUUCUUCGUAUCCUCAUUUUCCUCCUCCUUUUCUCCUCCUCCUUCUUCUUCGUUGUCGUCGUCGAUGAUCCAAUCGUCGUCACCGUCGUGGUGCCCUCGUGGGCCGUCGACACGGGCGCCUCCGACGGCAUCGGCCGCGCCUUCGCCUUCCGCCUCUUCCUUGUCCUCGUUCGCCGCAACCCCGACAAGCUCCCCAAUGCCGCCGUCGCCGCCGUCACCAUCCGCUCCCACAUCCUGAAGAGGAAGAUGAAAAUGGAGAGGGCAAGGGCAAAAUAGUCAUUUCACAACUCUACUGUUAAAAAAUUAACAGUUCUCUAAUAGAUUCUAACCAGAGGGACAUAUCUGAAUAUAUUAGGGCUUUUGCAGGAAUAACUUAUGAAAGUUGAACUUUGCAGGAAUAUAUCUGUUAUUCGUCAUAUUUGUGGGGACCUGUAUGAAAUUAACCCUAUUUAAAAAUUGGGAUACAAAUUUAUUAUACCUAUACUACAUUUUUGCCAAAUCCGAAUUAACUAACGAUGCUCUCCUGUUUAGGCAUGCGCAUCCUCUACUCCUAAUUCAAAUUUAAAAUUGAAAUCUACAAUUUGAGUUUUAUUGAAAUUCAAUUUUAUAUUAUAUGUUCAAAAAUUAAAUAAAAUAUCUUUAAACCAAAGCUUGUCAUUUAAAGCUUGAAUUUGAAUUGAAAUCUAACCAUUAUGAGGUAGCUAAUGAGACAUCCUUGAUGGAAUGUGCAAUUUGUUCAAAAUUGAAUUCAAAUUUUUUAAGAAUUUCAAUUUUGAAAGCACAAUUUGAAUUUAAAAUUUUAUUUUGAGUUUUCAUUUCAUUUCAAGUUGUGAAUUAUUAUAUUUUGAAAUACAAGUUUGAUAUGAUGUAUUAAGUAACUUUUAAGAAAGAAAUUUUGAAAAGUGAAUUCAAUUUAGAAUUUAAAUAGUUUGUUCUAAGGGGGAAAAAAAUUAGAGUCCAAUCCUGCCUCUUAUCCUAGACACACCAAACAUAGGAUUGGAUUUAUUAUUAUUAUUAUUAUUAUUAUUAUUAUUAUUUUAAGAGAAAGCAAUAGGCAUAAGACCUGCAUUAUAUUAAAAAGAGUAAAAUUUACAUAGGAUUGACUUCUAAUUAUCCAAUUCAAUCCUAACUCUAUCCCUAUCCAAUCCUCUUUAAUUAUCCUAUAUAUCCAAUCCAAUCACAGAUGCCAAAUAUGUCCUAUAACUUUACAUAUCUAAUAAUAGUCAUCCUCCAAUUGAGCCUAUAAAUUAAUAUUAGGAUGAAGUUUGGGCAUGAGCUCUAAAUUUAAGCUCACAUAGGAACUCAAACUCGUAACCUCGUGCUCGGAAGUCAAUUAGUAUAUCAUUAGACAGCUAGCGGUUUGGUGAUUUUGGGAGUGAUUUUGACUCCAUUAGAGUCACAUCUAAAAUUUCAUAUUGUCUGGCAAAUUCACACUACAUGUUAAUGCAUGUAUUAACAGUUUGUUAGAGCAACAUAAACUAUGAAAAAUCUAUAGUCCUAUUGCCUUAUUCUUGUACGAAAUGACCACUCAGUCGUAAAACUGUUGUUGCAUAUAUAUAACUCCAAUCAGUAGAGCAGAAAAUAUCUUUUUCUAGGUGAAAAGAGAAAAAGAAAACAAACUAUCCGUUUCGUUCAUCUUUCUUAGAAAUGAACUCGACUAGUACGAACUAGUUAGAAUUUGAACUCCGAAUCAUGAGUGUCAACAAUUUUAAGUCAUUAACUAAUUUGGCGUUUGGAAGUGAAAUAUAUGCACAGUUGAAUGUCACCGACAAAAUAUUUUCCGCUAACUUCUUCUUGACAGUGGCUCAAUCUCCAAAGAAGCAUUCUAUCGGAGGUUGCUGGGGCGCUCUAGAAGUUUCUACGCAGAUCUCAAAACUAUAGCUGCGGAUGCUAAAGGGUUAAGAGUCCCUUAGAGUUUCUACGUAGGCAAUAAUUAUUGUCUCUUGGGAGCUUGUAGCCUCCCUAUUUGCCAUGUAAUUAUGCGCCAUUUGGCGCCUUUUCAUUUGUAGCCUGGGUAUAGAGUGGCCUAUAUAAGUUUGUGGCCUCCGCCCCCUCAGAAAAUCAGUUGUGCUCUCAACUUUUAUCAAUACACAAGAUUCCUCAACUCUCUCUCUCUCUCUCUCUCUCUCUCUCUCUCUCUCUCUCUCUUAUACUUAGUUUAGGGCGAAUAGUGUUCGCUUAAAUGGGCCAGCAUCCUGCCCUGUGGCGGGAGGCCAUGUGGGCCGAGUCAUGUUCGAAAUGGCAUGAGCCUGGGUUGGGCCGAGUCAUGUUCGAAGUGGCGUGAGGCCAGGUGGGCCGAGUCACAAGAGUACUCGAAAAUAAUGUUGGCUAUCUCCAACAUAGCCGAUGAGGAUCAGCUAUUCUUUUU